rnacentral:rRNA from 1 species
AUUGAACGCUGGCGGAAUGCUUUACACAUGCAAGUCGAACGGCAGCACGGGGCAACCUGGUGGCGAGUGGCGAACGGGUGAGUAAUACAUCGGAACGUGCCCAGUCGUGGGGGAUAACGUAGCGAAAGCUACGCUAAUACCGCAUACGAUCUACGGAUGAAAGCGGGGGAUCGCAAGACCUCGCGCGAUUGGAGCGGCCGAUGGCAGAUUAGGUAGUUGGUGGGGUAAAGGCCUACCAAGCCGACGAUCUGUAGCUGGUCUGAGAGGACGACCAGCCACACUGGGACUGAGACACGGCCCAGACUCCUACGGGAGGCAGCAGUGGGGAAUUUUGGACAAUGGGCGCAAGCCUGAUCCAGCCAUUCCGCGUGCAGGAUGAAGGCCUUCGGGUUGUAAACUGCUUUUGUACGGAACGAAAAGGCUCUGGUUAAUACCCGGGGUUCAUGACGGUACCGUAAGAAUAAGCACCGGCUAACUACGUGCCAGCAGCCGCCGUAACAC